UACAGAGGGGGCAAGCGUUGUUCGGAAUUACUGGGCGUAAAGGGCGCGUAGGCGGCCUGCUAAGUCGAACGUGAAAUCCCCGGGCUCAACCCGGGAACUGCGUCCGAUACUGGCAGGCUUGAAUCCGGGAGAGGGAUGCGGAAUUCCAGGUGUAGCGGUGAAAUGCGUAGAUAUCUGGAGGAACACCGGUGGCGAAGGCGGCAUCCUGGGCCGGCAUUGACGCUGAGGCGCGAAAGCCAGGGGAGCAAACGGG
rnacentral:rRNA from 1 species